GUUACCGGUAAUUGUCAUAUCAGCACUGGUCUGUCAUGCUGCAUCAAGACCAUCAGACUAUGCAUUUUCCAACAAAGAAACAAAAAGACCUCAUCUGAGCUAAAGGUGUGCCGGAGUGAGAACGACCCCAGAUGUUCGUGGCGCGGCUGCCGUCCAAAUCAAUUAUUCCACUCUCAGCAUGAAUUCAAUUCUCCUGCACUCAUCAGAGGUGUGAAUAGCUCCUGGGACAUCAGGCACACCAGGAACGGUCUCUUUCCCAGAGUGCCGUGCAGCAGUGCCCGCCUAGCUUUGGCACCUCAGCUGUCAGCCCGCUCUGCUGAUGAGGAGAAGGUGUCGGGCGAUGAAGCCGAUAAUGAAGGUACCAUCUUGUUGUCACGACAGAUUGUUUGCUCUGGGCUUUCCGAGGUGCCGCCGAGCUCCAGCAAACUCCACGCCCCCUCUGCCUCGGGGCUUGGCACCUCUGCUGGGGAGAG
rnacentral:lncRNA from 1 species